rnacentral:lncRNA from 1 species
UUGCAAAGUACAGAAAAGCAAACAAGAACAAGAACUUAUUUGAGGACUAUGUUUUGAGGCCGGUUUUAAACUUAACUUUAAAUGUCAAUUAUGGUUAUUACCUAUGGUUUAGCCCAUCAAGUGCAGCGCUCUGACGAGUAAAAUCGUCUGGCGUUAGACAGAGUAAACUAUAGUACAAUAAUAAAGUAAGGCGCAUCAGGGCGCAAUGUGAUUCAAUUGGUUAACUAGACACAUAUAUAGGAAUAUAGGCUAGUUAACCCAUUCGGAGCCAGCAUUUCUCCUUGACAUUCAAGUACAAUUGUCUGGAGUUAGACAGAGUAAAAUAGUCUGGCAUUAGACAAAGUAAAAUAGUUAGACAGAGUACUUAAAAUAAUAAAGUAGGACGCAUCAUAUGGCAUUGCAUUGAGGUAGAACGAUUAAUUUGGCACAACAGGUGAAAACUAUAAUUAUAACCAAUUUCUCAUAUUAAUUUUUAUAUUUGCAAUAUUAAUUAGUAUUUAUUAAUAUUUAUAUCUAUUUUUUGCAUUAAAAAAUUAAGAGUGAUGAACAACAUUGUCUGUCAUUUACUAUUAUUUCAUCUAGAUUCUAGAAUUUCUGCAGGAAUACCAAAAAUCUUAUAGGAAAUUAGAAUAAAUUAUUUUCUUAUAGGAAAUUCCUAUAAUAAUUUGGGACUAGACUUGAGAAUUCUUAUAGGAAUUCUUCCUAUUAAAUUCUUAUAGGAAUUCCUGUAGAAAAAAUUCCUAUAGGAAAAAUUCCUAUAAGAAUUUGGGACAAAAUUCCUAUAGGAAUUUUUCCUAUAGGAAUUUUUCCUAUAGGAAUUUUUCCUAUAGGAAUUUUUCCUAUAGGAAUUCCUAUAGGAAAAAUUCCUAUAGGAAUUUUGUCCCAAAUUCUUAUAGGAAUUUUUCCUAUAGGAAUUCCUAUAGGAAAUUUUCGUAAGGGCUGGAGACUGUCUUUUUUUGUUUUACACUAUCUGUGUACUGCCAGACGAUUUUAAGGGGAGACUGCUCACUGCCGUCACUCAGUGGGUUAAAUAUACUAUCUGCCAAUGAGCAUGCAGCCCCUGAGAUAUAGUCAGCCCAUUAAGCAGCAAUGUGCCCAAAUGAACCCAGGCAUUCUUAUUUUACUCAAAGGGAAGAGUCUUGGGGUAGAAAAUAGAUACUCACUUUGCCAUUGUCUGUUCAGAACCACAUACACAGUAUGAUGUGAUAGUUACAUGGCAAUUAGAAAAAAAAUAUUGCCCACAAGCUGUUGGGAUAAGUGAUCACUAUUGAUGCACUAUAUAACUAAUUAAUUCAGAAUAUGCUACGUACAACAUUUUUAACAUUGGAAGAGGUGAUGUCUGAUUGGUCUGUGAGAAACUAUGAUGAAAUUUGCUAAUAAUAGAAUUCCAUUCCUGAAUAUGGAAACAUGACACUUCAUUUUGAAGCUUGGGAUCAUUAUGGUUUUGGUAAAAACAGAUAUAUUGCACCAUAGUGGCAGCAUGCUCUCCCCUUGACUAGUAAAAUUGUCUGACAUUAGCCUGUAAAAUAAUACAGUAAUACUACUAAUACAGUAAGACACAUUGCCACUUGAAGGGUUAAUAUAUGUGUAUUUAUUAUAUAGUAGAGAGCGAGAUACUGAAAAACACACAUUGAAAUAUUUUCCAUAUCUUCACUAGUGCAUGAAGAUAUCGAUCACAUGACUUUUCCCAAUUUCACAAUUUUUUGCUUGGGACUAUAUAAUAAACAGAACAUUACAUGGUGGUUUGAAGAUAUGACUUUUGUCUUCUCGUGUUAAAAACAAUAUUUUACUAACUUGCUGUGCUCGUUCGUAAAAUAUUGUUUUCACCACUCGAAGAUAAAAAUCAUAUCUUCACGCUGCUGUGUAAUAUCCUCUAUAUACAUGCAUAUGAUAUUUUUCAUUUUCAUGGUGUAUAAAGAUGUAUAUAAAUGUAUCAUGAUAAUAAUGUCAUCUUUUAUUUUGCAGAAAUUAUCUGUUUAAUGCAACACAAGAGAUGGCACAGGCAUCAACAUGCAGAACAUCAAAAUGAAGUUAUAAUUAUAAUACCAUAACAACAUAAUAUAUAAUUAUAUGAUUAUAAUAACUUUAUUGAAGUGUAAAUUUUUACAACAGAGCACAAUCAUGCUCCACUAAAUUAGGAAGAAUUAAAAUUAUACAUUUUUUAAUUGUUUACUGCUAGUUAAUAGAGGCUACAAAAAAGUCAAAUACUGUACAUCCUUCCAGAAAGUAUGCCACUUUGACUAUGAAGCCUCGUUUUUGUGUAUUUGACAUGUCUCAAUCAUGAAAAUGAGACUCUACAGCCUAUAACCAAGAUGAUAUACUUUCUGGAAGCAUGUAUUCAUUAAAAUACAGUUGUUUAAAUUAAAAUUAAUAAAGCUUUAAUUGUAUGUUCAGUUCAGGCACAGAUUUUCUGGGGAGGUGCACCGCCCCCCCCCCCCAAGAGGCAUUUGGCAACGCCCCUAAAAGUUUUUGCACCCCCGCAAAUUAUAUAUAUUUUGAUUUGAUAGUUUCAUAUUUGAUUAUUCUUACUACUAAAUUUGUAAAAUUACCAACAUUAUGGUCUCAGAUCUUGCCAUGCAGGGGCCAGUUGUUCAAUGCUGGGUUAGUUAAAACCCUGGGUUAACAAAAUUCAAAGCAAACUUCCUGAC